GAUUUCCUGAGUAGCGGCGAGCGAAACGGAACAUAGCCCAAACCAAGAGGCUUGCCUCUUGGGGUUGUAGGACAUUCUAUACGGAGUUACAAAGGAACGAGGUAGACGAAGCGACCUGGAAAGGUCCGUCGUAGAGGGUAACAACCCCGUAGUCGAAACUUCGUUCUCUCUUGAAUGUAUCCUGAGUACGGCGGAACACGUGAAAUUCCGUCGGAAUCUGGGAGGACCAUCUCCCAAGGCUAAAUACUCCCUAGUGAUCGAUAGUGAACCAGUACCGUGAGGGAAAGGUGAAAAGCACCCCGGAAGGGGAGUGAAAGAGAUCCUGAAACCGUGUGCCUACAAAUAGUCAGAGCCCGUUAACGGGUGAUGGCGUGCCUUUUGUAGAAUGAACCGGCGAGUUACGAUCCCGUGCGAGGUUAAGCUGAAGAGGCGGAGCCGCAGCGAAAGCGAGUCUGAAUAGGGCGUUUAGUACGUGGUCGUAGACCCGAAACCAGGUGAU
rnacentral:rRNA from 2 species